AUCUGGGUCGUGUUUGUAUGGUCUUGCAGACCUCAAUCGCCAUUUGUUCUGUAAAUUGAAGCUGAAACUUUCCAUCCAUGAUUUGGGGUUCUUGUUGUGUUCCAUCUCUUCCACCUUCCACGACGAGAUUUCGGAUUGUUUUUCCAUG